rnacentral:rRNA from 1 species
ACCAACAGGGAUUGCCCUAGUAACGGCGAGUGAAGCGGCAACAGCUCAAAUUUGAAAUCUGGCUCUUUUAGGGUCCGAGUUGUAAUUUGCAGAGGGCGCUUUGGCUUUGGCAGCGGUCCAAGUUCCUUGGAACAGGACGUCACAGAGGGUGAGAAUCCCGUACGUGGUCGCUAGCUAUUGCCGUGUAAAGCCCCUUCGACGAGUCGAGUUGUUUGGGAAUGCAGCUCUAAAUGGGAGGUAAAUUUCUUCUAAAGCUAAAUAUUGGCCAGAGACCGAUAGCGCACAAGUAGAGUGAUCGAAAGAUGAAAAGCACUUUGGAAAGAGAGUCAAACAGCACGUGAAAUUGUUGAAAGGGAAGCGCUUGCAGCCAGACUUGCUUGCAGUUGCUCAUCCGGGCUUUUGCCCGGUGCACUCUUCUGUAGGCAGGCCAGCAUCAGUUUGGGCGGUGGGAUAAAGGUCUCUGACACGUUCCUUCCUUCGGGUUGGCCAUAUAGGGGAGACGUCAUACCACCAGCCUGGACUGAGGUCCGCGCAUCUGCUAGGAUGCUGGCGUAAUGGCUGUAAGCGGCCCGUCUUGAAACACGGACCAAGGAGUCUAACAUCUAUGCGAGUGUUUGGGUGUCAAGCCCGAGCGCGUAAUGAAAGUGAACGGAGGUGGGAACCCGCAAGGGCGCACCAUCGACCGAUCCUGAAGUUUACGGAAGGAUUUGAGUAAGAGCAUGGCUGUUGGGACCCGAAAGAUGGUGAACUAUGCUUGAAUAGGGUGAAGCCAGAGGAAACUCUGGUGGAGGCUCGCAGCGGUUCUGACGUGCAAAUCGAUCGUCAAAUUUGGGCAUAGGGGCGAAAGACUAAUCGAACU